GCCCGGUUAGCUCAAUCGGUAGAGCGUGAGACUCUUAAUCUCAAGGUUGCGGGUGUAAGUUUACAUACAUAACUAUGCA